GGGGCAGGAGGUUCGACUCGAGCGAAGCGAGAGAACGUUGCGUCAGCAACGGCCCGCAGGGCGAGUCACGCAGUGGCGAGUCAUCCUCUAUCACCGACCA
rnacentral:sRNA from 2 species